UACGUAGGGCGCAAGCGUUAUCCGGAAUUACUGGGCGUAAAGAGCGCGCAGGCGGCUGGUCAAGUCCGAUGUGAAAGCUCCCGGCUUAACUGGGAAAUUGCAUCGGAAACUGAUCGGCUGGAAGGUGGGAGAGGGUAGCGGAAUUCCCGGUGUAGUGGUGAAAUGCGUAGAUAUCGGGAGGAACACCAGUGGCGAAAGCGGCUACCUGGCCCAUUCUUGACGCUGAGGCGCGAAAGCUAGGGGAGCAAACGGG
rnacentral:rRNA from 1 species